rnacentral:rRNA from 1 species
GGUUAAGCGACUAAGCGUACACGGUGGAUGCCCUGGCAGUCAGAGGCGAUGAAGGGCGUGCUAAUCUGCGAUAAGCGCCGGUAAGGUGAUAUGAACCGUUAUAACCGGCGAUACCCGAAUGGGGAAACCCAGUGUGACUCGUCACACUAUCAUUAACUGAAUCCAUAGGUUAAUGAGGCGAACCGGGGGAACUGAAACAUCUAAGUACCCCGAGGAAAAGAAAUCAACCGAGAUUCCCCCAGUAGCGGCGAGCGAACGGGGAGGAGCCCAGAGCCUGAAUCAGCAUGUGUGUUAGUGGAAGCGUCUGGAAAGGCGCGCGAUACAGGGUGACAGCCCCGUACACAAAAGCGCAUGUGCUGUGAGCUCGAUGAGUAGGGCGGGACACGUGGUAUCCUGUCUGAAUAUGGGGGGACCAUCCUCCAAGGCUAAAUACUCCUGACUGACCGAUAGUGAACCAGUACCGUGAGGGAAAGGCGAAAAGAACCCCGGCGAGGGGAGUGAAAAAGAACCUGAAACCGUGUACGUACAAGCAGUGGGAGCCCCACCACUAAGCCAGUGGUGAACUCCACAUACGCAUCCUUUGCUGAGGAUACGGUUAACGGAGCGAAAGCGACGUUCAACCUCAAAAGAAGCAGAGGGGGCUUAGUGGUGGGGUGACUGCGUACCUUUUGUAUAAUGGGUCAGCGACUUAUAUUCUGUAGCAAGGUUAACCGAAUAGGGGAGCCGGAGGGAAACCGAGUCUUAAUUGGGCGUUAAGUUGCAGGGUAUAGACCCGAAACCCGGUGAUCUAGCCAUGGGCAGGUUGAAGGUUGGGUAACACUAACUGGAGGACCGAACCGACUAAUGUUGAAAAAUUAGCGGAUGACCUGUGGCUGGGGGUGAAAGGCCAAUCAAACCGGGAGAUAGCUGGUUCUCCCCGAAAGCUAUUUAGGUAGCGCCUCGUGAAUUCAUCUCCGGGGGUAGAGCACUGUUUCGGCUAGGGGGCCAUCCCGGCUUACCAACCCGAUGCAAACUGCGAAUACCGGAGAAUGUUAUCACGGGAGACACACGGCGGGUGCUAACGUCCGUCGUGAAGAGGGAAACAACCCAGACCGCCAGCUAAGGUCCCAAAGUCAUGGUUAAGUGGGAAACGAUGUGGGAAGGCCCAGACAGCCAGGAUGUUGGCUUAGAAGCAGCCAUCAUUUAAAGAAAGCGUAAUAGCUCACUGGUCGAGUCGGCCUGCGCGGAAGAUGUAACGGGGCUAAACCAUGCACCGAAGCUGCGGCAGCGACACUCAGGUGUUGUUGGGUAGGGGAGCGUUCUGUAAGCCUGUGAAGGUGUGUCGUGAGGCAUGCUGGAGGUAUCAGAAGUGCGAAUGCUGACAUAAGUAACGAUAAAGCGGGUGAAAAGCCCGCUCGCCGGAAGACCAAGGGUUCCUGUCCAACGUUAAUCGGGGCAGGGUGAGUCGACCCCUAAGGCGAGGCCGAAAGGCGUAGUCGAUGGGAAACGGGUUAAUAUUCCCGUACUUGGUGUUACUGCGAAGGGGGGACGGAGAAGGCUAUGUUGGCCGGGCGACGGUUGUCCCGGUUUAAGCGUGUAGGUGUGUGUUCCAGGUAAAUCCGGUUCACUUUAACACUGAGGCGUGACGACGAGGCACUACGGUGCUGAAGCAACAAAUGCCCUGCUUCCAGGAAAAGCCUCUAAGCAUCAGGUAACAUCAAAUCGUACCCCAAACCGACACAGGUGGUCAGGUAGAGAAUACCAAGGCGCUUGAGAGAACUCGGGUGAAGGAACUAGGCAAAAUGGUGCCGUAACUUCGGGAGAAGGCACGCUGACACGUAGGUGAAGUGAUUUACUCAUGGAGCUGAAGUCAGUCGAAGAUACCAGCUGGCUGCAACUGUUUAUUAAAAACACAGCACUGUGCAAACACGAAAGUGGACGUAUACGGUGUGACGCCUGCCCGGUGCCGGAAGGUUAAUUGAUGGGGUCAGCGCAAGCGAAGCUCCUGAUCGAAGCCCCGGUAAACGGCGGCCGUAACUAUAACGGUCCUAAGGUAGCGAAAUUCCUUGUCGGGUAAGUUCCGACCUGCACGAAUGGCGUAAUGAUGGCCAGGCUGUCUCCACCCGAGACUCAGUGAAAUUGAACUCGCUGUGAAGAUGCAGUGUACCCGCGGCAAGACGGAAAGACCCCGUGAACCUUUACUAUAGCUUGACACUGAACAUUGAGCCUUGAUGUGUAGGAUAGGUGGGAGGCUUUGAAGUGUGGACGCCAGUCUGCAUGGAGCCGACCUUGAAAUACCACCCUUUAAUGUUUGAUGUUCUAACGUGGACCCGUAAUCCGGGUUGCGGACAGUGUCUGGUGGGUAGUUUGACUGGGGCGGUCUCCUCCUAAAGAGUAACGGAGGAGCACGAAGGUUGGCUAAUCCUGGUCGGACAUCAGGAGGUUAGUGCAAUGGCAUAAGCCAGCUUGACUGCGAGCGUGACGGCGCGAGCAGGUGCGAAAGCAGGUCAUAGUGAUCCGGUGGUUCUGAAUGGAAGGGCCAUCGCUCAACGGAUAAAAGGUACUCCGGGGAUAACAGGCUGAUACCGCCCAAGAGUUCAUAUCGACGGCGGUGUUUGGCACCUCGAUGUCGGCUCAUCACAUCCUGGGGCUGAAGUAGGUCCCAAGGGUAUGGCUGUUCGCCAUUUAAAGUGGUACGCGAGCUGGGUUUAGAACGUCGUGAGACAGUUCGGUCCCUAUCUGCCGUGGGCGCUGGAGAACUGAGGGGGGCUGCUCCUAGUACGAGAGGACCGGAGUGGACGCAUCACUGGUGUUCGGGUUGUCAUGCCAAUGGCACUGCCCGGUAGCUAAAUGCGGAAGAGAUAAGUGCUGAAAGCAUCUAAGCACGAAACUUGCCCCGAGAUGAGUUCUCCCUGAGACUUAGAGUCUCCUGAAGGAACGUUGAAGACGACGACGUUGAUAGGCCGGGUGUGUAAGUGCAGCGAUGCGUUGAGCUAACCGGUACUAAUGAACCGUGAGGCUUAACCUU